rnacentral:rRNA from 1 species
AGCGAACGCUGGCGGUAGGCCUAACACAUGCAAGUCGAACGGCAGCACAGUAAGAGCUUGCUCUUACGGGUGGCGAGUGGCGGACGGGUGAGGAAUACAACGGACUCUACUUUUUCGUGGGGGAUCACGUAGGGAAACUUAAGCUCAUACCGCAUACGACCUACGGGUGAAAGCAGGGGAUAUUCGGACCUUGCGCGAAUGAAUGAGCCGCUGUCGGAUUAGCUAGUUGGCGGGGUAAUGGCCCACCAAGGCGCCGAUCCGCAGCUGGUCUGAGAGGCUGAUCGGCCGCAUUGGAGCGGGGACAGGGACCAGAGUCCUACGGGAGGCAGCAGAGUGGAAUAGUGGGCAAUGGGCGCAAGCCUGAUCCAGCCAUACCACGUGGGUUAAGAAGGCCUUCGGGUUGUAAUGCCCGUUUGUGGGUAAAGAAAAGCAGCAGGUUAAUACCCCGCUGUUCUGACGGUACCCAAAGAAUAAGCACCGGCUAACUUCGUG